rnacentral:rRNA from 1 species
AUUGUAUCCACGAUUGGGGAAUUUUCCGCAAUGGGCGAAAGCCUGACGGAGCAAUACCGCGUGAGGGAGGAAGGCUCUUGGGUCGUAAACCUCUUUUCUCAGGGAAGAAAUAAAUGACGGUACCUGAGGAAUCAGCAUCGGCUAACUCCGUGCCAGCAGCCGCGGUAAUACGGAGGAUGCAAGCGUUAUCCGGAAUGAUUGGGCGUAAAGCGUCCGCAGGUGGCAGUGUAAGUCUGCUGUCAAAGGUCAGGGCUCAACCCUGAACAGGCAGUGGAAACUACACAGCUAGAGUGCGGUGGGGGCAGAGGGAAUUCCCAGUGUAGCGGUGAAAUGCGUAGAGAUUGGGAAGAACACCGGUGGCGAAAGCGCUCUGCUAGGCCGCAACUGACACUCAUGGACGAAAGCUAGGGGAGCGAAUGGGAUUAGAUACCCCAGUAGUCAAUCGUGGAUACAAU